rnacentral:rRNA from 1 species
GCCUGAUCCAGCCAUGCCGCGUGCAGGAUGACGGUCCUAUGGAUUGUAAACUGCUUUUGUACAGGAAGAAACACUCCCUCGUGAGGGAGCUUGACGGUACUGUAAGAAUAAGGAUCGGCUAACUCCGUGCCAGCAGCCGCGGUAAUACGGAGGAUCCAAGCGUUAUCCGGAAUCAUUGGGUUUAAAGGGUCCGUAGGCGGUUUAAUAAGUCAGUGGUGAAAGCCCAUCGCUCAACGGUGGAACGGCCAUUGAUACUGUUAAACUUGAAUUAUUAGGAAGUAACUAGAAUAUGUAGUGUAGCGGUGAAAUGCUUAGAGAUUACAUGGAAUACCAAUUGCGAAGGCAGGUUACUACUAAUGGAUUGACGCUGAUGGACGAAAGCGUGGGUAGCGAACAGGAUUAGAUACCCUGGUAGUCCACGCCGUAAACGAUGGAUACUAGCUGUUGGGAGCAAUCUCAGUGGCUAAGCGAAAGUGAUAAGUAUCCCACCUGGGGAGUACGUUCGCAAGAAUGAAACUCAAAGGAAUUGACGGGGGCCCGCACAAGCGGUGGAGCAUGUGGUUUAAUUCGAUGAUACGCGAGGAACCUUACCAAGGCUUAAAUGUAGUUUGACCGAUUUGGAAACAGAUCUUUCGC